rfam:Lepisosteus oculatus linkage group LG15, whole genome shotgun sequence.
GCCAGCAGCCAUAUCAUCCUGCAACUUACAGCUGGCAGCCCACUGAAGCUCAGCAGGUGUGAGCCUGGCCAGUACCUGGAUGGGAGAUUCCUGGGAAAAACUAAGGUUGCUGCUGGAA